UACGUAGGGACCAAGCGUUGUUCGGAUUUACUGGGCGUAAAGGGCGCGUAGGCGGCAAUUCAAGUCAUCUGUGAAAUCUCCGGGCUUAACUCGGAAUGGUCAGGUGAUACUGCUUUGCUAGAGUGCAGAAGGGGCAAUCGGAAUUCUUGGUGUAGCGGUGAAAUGCGUAGAUACCAAGAGGAACACCUGAGGUGAAGACGGGUUGCUGGGCUGACACUGACGCUGAGGCGCGAAAGCGUGGGGAGCGAACAGG
rnacentral:rRNA from 1 species